rnacentral:rRNA from 1 species
UCGGGAAUUUUGGGCAAUGGGCGCAAGCCUGAUCCAGCAAUGCCGCGUGCAGGAUGAAGGCCUUCGGGUUGUAAACUGCUUUUUCGUACGGAACGAAACGGCGAACUCUAAUAAAGUUUGCUAAUGACGGUACCGUAAGAAUAAGCACCGGCUAACUACGUGCCAGCAGCCGCGGUAAUACGUAGGGUGCAAGCGUUAAUCGGAAUUACUGGGCGUAAAGCGUGCGCAGGCGGUUAUAUAAGACAGAUGUGAAAUCCCCGGGCUCAACCUGGGACCUGCAUUUGUGACUGUAUAGCUAGAGUACGGUAGAGGGGGAUGGAAUUCCGCGUGUAGCAGUGAAAUGCGUAGAUAUGCGGAGGAACACCGAUGGCGAAGGCAAUCCCCUGGACCUGUACUGACGCUCAUGCACGAAAGCGUGGGGAGCAAACAGGAUUAGAUACCCACGUAGUCCCUGAGCGGGCUGGCAAGGCGCAU